rnacentral:rRNA from 1 species
UACGUAGGUGGCGAGCGUUGUCCGGAAUUACUGGGUGUAAAGGGAGUGUAGGCGGGGCUUCAAGUCCGUUGUGAAACCGAUCGGCUCAACUGAUCGUUGCGGCGGAAACCGGAGCUCUCGAGUGAGGUAGAGGCAGGCGGAAUUCCCAGUGUAGCGGUGAAAUGCGUAGAUAUUGGGAGGAACACCAGUGGCGAAGGCGGCCUGCUGGGCCUUAACUGACGCUGAGGCUCGAAAGGGUGGGGAGCAAACAGGAUUAGAUACCCUGGUAGUCCACACGGUAAACGAUGAUUACUAGGUGUGGGGGGACUGACCCCUUCCGUGCCGGAGUGAACACAGUAAGUAAUCCACCUGGGGAGUACGACCGCAAGGUUGAA